rnacentral:rRNA from 1 species
AGUGAACGCUGGCGGUAGGCCUAACACAUGCAAGUCGAACGGCAGCACAGUAAGAGCUUGCUCUUACGGGUGGCGAGUGGCGGACGGGUGAGGAAUACAUCGGAAUCUACUUUUUCGUGGGGGAUAACGUAGGGAAACUUACGCUAAUACCGCAUACGACCUACGGGUGAAAGCAGGGGAUCUUCGGACCUUGCGCGAUUGAAUGAGCCGAUGUCGGAUUAGCUAGUUGGCGGGGUAAAGGCCCACCAAGGCGACGAUCCGUAGCUGGUCUGAGAGGAUGAACGCCCACAGUGGAAAUGAGACACGGACCAGACCCCGACGGGGGGCAGAAGUGGGAAUUAUUGAAAAAGGGGGGAAAGCUUGACCCACCCUUCCCGGGGGGGGAAAAAGGGCUUUGGGUUUUAAAGCCCCUUUUGUGGAAAAAAAAAAGCAGCGGGUUAACCCCUUCUUGUCCUGAGGGACCCAAAAAAAAAGGCCCCGGAUAACUUCGGG